rnacentral:rRNA from 1 species
GACGAACGCUGGCGGCGUGCUUAACACAUGCAAGUCGAACGGAAAGGCCCUGCUCUUGUGGGGUGCUCGAGUGGCGAACGGGUGAGUAACACGCGAGUAACCUGCCCUUGACUUUGGGAUAACUUCAGGAAACUGGGGCUCAUACCCGAUAGGAGCUCCUGCUGCAUGGUGGGGGUUGGAAAGUUUCGGCGGUUGGGGCUGGACUCGCGGCUUAUCAGCUUGUUGGUGGGGUAGUGGCUUACCAAGGCUUUGACGGGUAGCCGGCCUGAGAGGGUGGCCGGCCACAUUGGGACUGCGAUACGGCCCAGACUCCUACGGGAGGCAGCAGUGGGGAAUAUGGCAGAGUGGGCGGAAGCCUGAUGCAGCAAUGCCGCGAGCGUGAUGACGGGCUUCGGGUUGUGAACCGCUUUCGCCUGUGACGAAGCGUGCGUGACGGUAAUGGGUCAAGAAGCACCGGCUAACUACGUG